rnacentral:rRNA from 1 species
GACGAACGCUGGCGGCGUGCUUAACACAUGCAAGUCGAACGGAAAGGCCCUGCUUGCAGGGUACUCGAGUGGCGAACGGGUGAGUAACACGUGGGUGAUCUGCCCUGCACUUCGGGAUAAGCUUGGGAAACUGGGUCUAAUACCGGAUAGGAGCCCUCCUUCGUGUGGUGGUUGGAAAGUUUUUUUGGUGUAGGAUGAGCUCGCGGCCUAUCCGCCUGUUGGUGGGGUAAUGGCCUACCAAGGCGGCGACGGGGAGCCGGCCUGAGAGGGUGUACGGCCACAUUGGGACUGAGAUACGGCGCAGACUCCUACGGGGGGCAGCAGUGGGGAAUAUUGCACAAUGGGCGCGAGCCUGAUACAGCGACGCCGCGUGGGGGAUGAAGGCCUUCGGGUUGUAAACUCCUUUCGCUAGGGACGAAGCGUUUUUGUGACGGUACCUAGAUAAGAAGCACCGGCUAACUACGUG